rnacentral:rRNA from 1 species
UACGUAGGGGGCUAGCGUUGUCCGGAAUCAUUGGGCGUAAAGCGCGUGUAGGCGGCCCGGUAAGUCCGCUGUGAAAGUCGGGGGCUCAACCCUCGGAUGCCGGUGGAUACUGUCGGGCUAGAGUGCGGGAGAGGCGAGUGGAAUUCCUGGUGUAGCGGUGAAAUGCGCAGAUAUCAGGAGGAACACCAAUUGCGAAGGCAGCUCGCUGGAACGUAACUGACGCUGAGACGCGAAAGCGUGGGGAGCAAACAGG